UACAGAGGGUGCAAGCGUUGUUCGGAAUCAUUGGGCGUAAAGCGUGCGUAGGCGGUUUGUUAAGACAGGUGUGAAUCCCCGGGCUUAACCUGGGAACUGCGCUUGUUACUGGCAGACUGGAGUGUGGCAGAGGGGGGUGGAAUUCCAGGUGUAGCAGUGAAAUGCGUAGAUAUCUGGAGGAACACCGAUGGCGAAGGCAGCCCCUGGGCUAACACUGACGCUGAUGCACGAAAGCGUGGGGAGCAAACAGG
rnacentral:rRNA from 1 species